UGUAAAAUAAUAUUUGUGUAUUGUUCUAAUAUUACUGUAAAUAGUGACACACUUUUGCAUUAGAUUGCUAAUUUUAGAGAUUACAGUGUAUGUAUAAAAUAAUAAAAUAAAAAAUUUCUUGUUAUGAUUUUGUAGAAAGAGAUCUACUUGAGUGGUUCAGUGGUUGGCUGGUCUUGAACCUGGUCAGGAUGGAUAUGGUAAUGAAGGUGAUAGGGCAGAAAGUGGUGACCAGUUAAGUGAUCAGGAUGAAAGUGACGAGGACGAAAUCACCCAUGCUGUGCCAUUCAAGUGCAUUGGUGCUGUUCAUGAGAAACAUUACCAACAUCAUUUGUAACAGGCAUGCCUUGCUAUUCAUGGACAAGAUAAACCAGUGAAUGUAAGAAUACGGCCAAAGCCAUUGAAUCCAAUGGACCCAAGUGCAAUAGCAAUUGAUGUAGACUAUGGAACUGGAUGGACAUAUGUGAUGUUGGCUAUAUUAUUUGCACCCACUAAUUGCUGCACGAGAUAUCUUAGAGGUCUAUGUUCAGCAUAUAAAGUAUAGGGUUGACUUUUUUAAAAUAGGAUUUUAUCCAAAAUUUUUCAUAAAGCGAUGUGGUGAGUGGGAGACUCAAGUGGUAAGGAGGGGCAUGAGUGUAUGUCGACAGAUGUUUGUGAAAUAAUAGUAACUGACUAGGUUUAGCAAGUUAUAGAAAUGUUAUUUAAAUUGGCUAACUUUUUAGAUUUUUCCAGCAUUUUUACCUUUCACUUUAUUGCCAAACAAAAAUCAUUUAAUAUAAGUAGGUGUGUAUCUAUAACAAAACAAUAUCUGUCAUGUGCAACUCCCUCAAAAUAGCAAUAUUGCUUUUUUAUUGUGGCAUAAAUUUAUUACUAGGACACCAAUAUGGUUCUCAUUACCUGUAUCUAAACUUAAAAAAACAUGUGCUAUCAAUAAAUGCAUCUACCUAUUUCGUGACUGAAUAGAAUUUAUUUUGUCAAGCCAUGUAAUUAAUUUUGAAAUUGCUGUGACUUUAUGUAACCCUUCUGCAAGAAUUGAGCCUAAACCCUAAAGCACCAACCCAUCCCCAACAAUAAAAUUACAUCUUGCUGUCAAUUUCAAUUUGUCUUUGAAAUCUGAC